rnacentral:lncRNA from 1 species
CACAUAUCUUGAAGGGAUAAGGAUUUUUUUAAACUUAUACUUUAACUGUCAAGAUCAGAAAUGUGUAACUGGGUGGSAAGUUAGAAAAAAGUAAAACUUUGGAAUGUCUUUUCAGAAAGGGUUUUGGGGAAGGACUGUAUUAAUUCUAAGAAGAUCCUUGAUAAGCUCUGAGAAGGGACUGUAGGACAGGAGAAGAGAUGUGAACUUCUGCAUAGCCUCUUUCUUUACAUCACAACAGGAACCAAGAAAGCCAUCACCGUAUGAUGAAUACGUAUCCCUUGGUGUCCUGUGUAUGUCUGGUCAUUUUGAUCUGCUGCUGGUCGCUUUUAGAGUUGAAUGAGGCACUUCUUCCCUGCCUUCAGCCUGCUUUACAGAGAGAUGUAGAAAAUCAGUGACAGCUAGAAAUAUGAGCCUGGCCAGCGUUUUCUGUUCUGAAGAAAAUCUUCAAAAUAAGAACAGAUUCUUUGGCUGAAUGUAAAGCUGUAUUGUUAAGGAAUAUUUCAGCAGGAUAUUUUGCCUUUCCAUCCAUGGAUGACCACGAAGCCAGUGACGGCUCAGGCCAUGAGACUAGGAAGAUGUUUCCUAGCCUGGAUGGCUGUAACACUCCGCACAAGUGCUCUCACGCUCAGCUCUUAGCUCCUGUUUUCCUCUCGAUUUAUGCACCUUUGUCCAGAAGCACCCUCUGCUCAGGUGAGGUGCUCAGACCAGUGACRAAGGUUUCUCUCUGGGCAAAAUCUCUCAUUUCACAAGUGCCCACAAGGUUUGCAAGAAUCUGCUGCUGCCUGAAAGCCCUGUUUAGUGACUGGAGGAAGGACCUCACAAGGACUCGUCUGAUGUCUUUGUUAAUUUUUGCUUCAUC